rnacentral:rRNA from 1 species
CCUACGGGUGGCAGCAGUGGGGGAUAUUGCACAAUGGGGGGAACCCUGAUGCAGCGACGCCGCGUGGGUGAAGAAGCGCCUCGGCGCGUAAAGCCCUGUCAGCAGGGAAGAAAAUGACGGUACCUGAGGAAGAAGCCCCGGCUAACUACGUGCCAGCAGCCGCGGUAAUACGUAGGGGGCAAGCGUUAUCCGGAUUUACUGGGUGUAAGGGGGGCGCAGACGGGGAUGUAAGCCAGGAGUGAAAGCGCGUGGCCCAACCCUGGGAGUGCUGUGGGAACUGGGUGGCUGGAGUGCAGGAGGGGCAGGCGGAAUUCGUGGUGUAGCGGUGAAAUGCUUAGAUAUCACGAGGAACACCGAUGGCGAAGGCGGCCUGCCGGAGUGCAACUGACGUUGAGGCUCGAAAGCGUGGGGAGCAAACAGGAUUAGAUACCCCAGUAGUC